AUAUUACUCCCUCCAUCCCAAAAUUCUUGUCUUAAAUUUGCCUACAUAUGAAUGUAUUAGUCACAUUUUAGUAUUUACAUACAUCCAUUUCUAAACAAACUUAAGACAAGAAUUUUGGGACGGAGGGAGUACAUC
rnacentral:pre_miRNA from 1 species